rnacentral:RNase_P_RNA from 1 species
AGAGUCGGCCAGACGGUCGCGGCGCCCAUCAUCGGCGUCGAGGAAAGUCCGGACUCCACAGGGCAGGGUGGUCGGUAACACCGACCCGGGGCGACCCGCGGGACAGUGCCACAGAAAACAGACCGCCACCGCUCGCGGUGGUAAGGGUGAAACGGUGGUGUAAGAGACCACCAGCGGCCGGAGCGAUCCGGCCGGCUAGGUAAACCCCACCCGGAGCAAGGUCGAGAAGGGGGCUCGCGCCCCCGCGCGGACGUUCGAGGGCUGCCCGCCCGAGGUCCGCGGGUAGACCGCACCGAGGCCGUCGGCAACGGCGGCCCCAGAUGGAUGGCCGUCCGCCCCCGGUCCCCGGGGGCCGACAGAAUCCGGCUUACCGGCCGACUCUCCCC